CCCUUAGAUGUUCUGGGCCGCACGCGUGCUACACUGACCGGCGCAACAAGCUUUUUUCCUUGGCUCGACAGGCCUGGGUAAUCUUCGAACGCCGGUCGUGAUGGGGAUAGAUCCUUGCAAUUUUUGAUCUUCAACGAGGAAUUCCUAGUAAAUGCGAGUCAUCAUCUCGCGUUGAUUACGUCCCUGCCCUUUGUACACACCGCCCGUCGCACCUACCGAUUGAAUGGUCCGGUGAAGCCUCCGGAGUGCACAGGCCCCGUGUCUGGCGCGAGAAGUUGGCUAAACCUUACCAUUUAGAGGAAGGUGAAGUCGUAACA
rnacentral:rRNA from 1 species